rnacentral:lncRNA from 1 species
CAAUACCCAAUACCCAUUAAGCUAAUCUUAGGGACCCUUCUAGACUCUUCUUUGGAAGAAAAAUAAAUAAAAAGACCCUAAGGACCUAAGAGCAAAUACACAAAAUAUAAAUCUAGACUCUAGGACCUAGAUAUAUAGGCUAACGCCUAAUGAACUGAAGGACAGAUAUAGGAGGACCGCUUAAAAACCUAAAGAAAAGAUACACUCUGCAAAAGCUGCAGCGCCAUACAUAUACAGACCCACCCCCUCUUUUCAUCGUCUUCUUCGACGCCAACAACCCCAAAGGACCUAUCGUUUCUUCUUCUUUUGAAUCAGAGAAUCAAGACCUCCAUUAGAAUACACCAUCGAAGACCUCUUGAUCUUCAACUUCUUCUGCAGCAGCACAAACCAAAAGCAACGACCCCUAAGUUGUUCCACUUCUGUCUCGAAGCAGCAGGACCUGCAACCUUCCAACGAUCCCUCCCCACCAUGAACUGAUCUUCCUCAAUCGCUGAACACCCAGAAACACCUCCUCCAUCGAUACUCCUCUUCUUCAACUUCAUAGAGUCCAUUUUGAAGUUCGUUCGUUGAGUUGUUCGGGGUCGAGCGCUGGAGACGUUCGAGGUCGUCGGGUCCCUGUUCCGUUUGUGGUCAUUUUCUGGUGCAUUUCCGGUCCCUUACUGUGUUUUUGUGUGGUUGAAAGUAUAAUAAGAGUAGUAGAGGUUAAAUUCUAGGAACUGAGUUGGUAAUUGUAGGAGAUUUGGUGUUUUUGCUUAUUGUGUGAUGCUCUAUUCUGUCGAAUGGUGUUCUAAAUUUGGUGUUUGUCGAUUUUGCUAUUAGAAUUUGCUAGUGCUCAAGUUGUCGCAAAUCUGUUAACCAUGAAAUUCACGUCUCUGAUUCGUUGAAAUGUUUGAGCUGCUGCAGUUUUGUCACAAAUUCUCGAUUACGGUGAAUAUGUGUCCAAUUUCCCUUUGUGAUUUUGUUUUAUUUCAUUUUUCAGUCAUUGUUUGGCUUGUUACGAGUAGAGUUCGGAAGUGGAACUUAUUGUAUGUUCGUUAAUAUGGAGCUACUGGAAAUAUUUUUUUUGGAGUUGUUGAUCUUUUGUAUUUAGUUGUAAAUUGGGUUAAUUUGAGUGGUUUUAUAUUAUUAAGCAAAGACUAAGCUAAGAAUAGAAGGAAUCGUUUCACGAGUUAAUUUUGAACAUUGAAGCAAAAAAAUGAAACUUCAAGAACGGUGGUGGACUGAUGCAAUUAUGCGCUGGGAUACUACUUAUAUUUAUUUUAUGAAAGUUAGUUUGAGAUUUAUCCUUUGUUAAAGGUUUCCAAAAACAAUCAGAUUCUAAUUUUAAAGAAGUUGAUUUUGGGUUUAAAAUUGCGAAGUGGCCAGUAUCAUAUUUAGUUCAAUCCUUUGUUAUUAUAGUAAUCUUUGUCUUAUUUCGUACGUCUUGGAUGUUUACAUGUCUCGAUAUCUCAUUUUUGGUGAUCGGUAUAUUUUUGUUUUGAAUGACCGUGGGAUCGUGGGGAGUGAUAGAAAGGCCGAAGCCCUUUAGCAAUUACUUUGUUCCAUGUUUUAGGUAUCGGGCUCGGCCGGAUAGGAGAAGGGUUUAAAAGGAAAUGUUCAUGAAAUCUCGUUUAGUAAAAGUAUUCCAUAACGCAUGGCCCUCACGAGUGUUAUAAUUUAGAUAUUAAAAAUGAACUUCGUAGUUUGCUUUAGCCGCGUUAGUUAUAUAUUUAUCAUGGCUUUUAUUGAAAUCCGAGGGUGCAUUUUAUGUGACCCGGUUCUAAUUUCCAACAAGGUUAUUCUCAUUUCCAACAAGGUUAAAUAGAGUGUGUCGUGAACCACGGGUGCAUUUCAUGUGACGUGACUUGCGAUAUGUUUUAAAUAACCUUGAAUUAAUUCCUUAAAUAAGUAAAAGCGGUUUUCAAAAGUUAAAAGGCGCAUAGGUUUAAAAGUGUUUUAAAAUCAAGUAAAUAGGCCAAUAAUAACAGUUGGGCGACCGUGCUAAAACCACGGAACCCGGGAAUGCCUAACACCUUCUUCCGGGUUAACAGAUUUCCUUACCCGAAUUUCUGUGUGCGGGGACUGAAAAUAUUUCCUUGAUUCGGGAUUUAAAACUGGUGACUUAGGACACCAUAAAUUGUCCCAAGUGGCGACUCUGAUUUUUAAAUAAUAAUCCCGUUUUGGUUGUCACUUUAAGUUGGAAAAAACUCCCUUGUACCCUUCCGGAGGGUAGGAAAAGGAGGUAUGACAGCUCUGGUGACUUUGCUGGGGAUCGAACCCAGAACCUCUGGUUCAGGGUUCAGAUUCGAGCUUAGAAUAACUGUUAUAGUUGGCUUUUAUUUAUUAUCUGAUUUUUAUAUGUUUGAGCCUAAUGUGCUAAUUGGUGUUUUUUACCACUUUGAUAUUUUUGGAUUGUAUAUAAACUGUUACGAAACCCCUCCUCUCUUGAGUCUUCCAAAUNNNNNNNNNNNNNNNNNNNAAAAUGAGAAAAAAAGAGGGUGAAGUGUGAAAAUGAAGCAAGUAGGGCCCAGUUAUUAUUUUCUUUGACACUUUUUCAAGAAAGAAAAAACCAAAAAAAUGAAAUGAAAAUAUCUAAAAAGAUUUUGCAUUUUCCCCGUCAUUUUUUUAAAAAAAUCAAUCAAAAAAAAAGGAAAAAAAGAAAAUCCAAAAAAGAUUUUACAUGUUUCAUCAUUUUUCAAGAAAAGGCAAAAAAAAAUAUUUUCUCUUAGUUAUUUGUUAAUUUUAUUUCUCGCCCGUAUCCAAUCUGCCCGAACUACGCAUACCUGAUUCUCGUCUUUCGGGGCGUGAUACGUAGGCAACCCACAUAGGGUCCGGUCUUCCUAGUGAGUUUAGGUUCUUGGAUUCGCGGGGUCAUGCCAAAUCUUGUAUUUAUAGCCACGUAGAUUAAUUUUAGAAAAAUAGUCACAACCAUGUCUUGCAUGUGUCUAGUAGGGGAUCUUAUUGUCUCACACAGUGUUGGUUUGAGUUUUUUCAUAGAGGUGUGGACUUACUUACCGGAGUUUGAGCAUGACAGAGCCCUAGGACCUUCUAGUUAGGAUCGCUCAUUUAGGAAUGGAUUAAAAGGAGAUUUUCUUUUCUUUUUUAUGUUUUGAGUCUGUUUUUUUAUGUCGUCUUUUACCUUCUAGUUUUGUAUUGUAAUGUCGAGUUUUUUAUUAUUAUUGUACUUUCUAUUUUGCAUUUGAAAAAGCGUGUUAUAAAUCAAAAAUCCAAAAAAAAAAAAUUUGCGUUUUAUAUUUCCGCUAAAAGUUUUCAUUAGAAUACUAAUUCUAGAAAUGAAAAAAAAAUUCAUUUGAGGUGGUUUUCCUUAGGAAAUUAAUAUCUAGAGCUCAAAAUAAAAUAAUAAUUGUUUUUAUAUUUCCUUUAGUAUAUUAAGACUAAAAAUUCAAAAAAAGAGAAUUUUCUUUUAGUAUCUCUUUAAAAGUUUUCUUUAAGAUAUUGAUUCCAAAAUCCAAAAAGAUUUUCGUUUGAGGUGCUUCUUUGGGAAAUUAAUGAAAAAUGAAAAAAAAAUUAUUUUCAUUAGAACUUUAGGAUAUUGUACAUAGAAGAAAAAAAAACAUAUUUUAUCUUUUGUUUAUCCUUAAAGUUUCUUUCUUAGGUAAUCAAAAACUGAAAUCCAAAAAUAUUUUUUAUCUUUUUCAUUUCUUAGUUCAAAAUCUUUCUUUCAGGAUAUCAAACAAAAAUUAAAAAUAUUUUUCUUUAGUUUAUUUUUUAGAUUUCUUUCCAAAAAAAAGAAUCAAAAAAUAUUUUUCUAUUCUAGGGUUUUUUCCUUAAUAAUUUCCCAUAGAGUGUUUGUUACAAAAAGAAACAAAAAAAAACAUGCCCGUUAAGCUUGAGUUUAAAAUAGGUUAUAGAACAUUAAGUCUAGAAAAUUCAAAAAAACAAAGAUUUGCUUCUCUUAUUUCUCUUUUCUCAUCAGAGUAGUCAUUAAGGUAAAAAAGAAAAGAAAAAGAGAAUGUCAGUUUGUUUACUUAAUUUAUUCCCGAUCUUCCCGAACUACGCAAAGAUCUGAUUCAUGCGGUGUCAUGAUAUGUAGGCAACCUACAUAGGGUUCGAUCGAAUCAUUUUUUUUAUUAAAAGAAAAAAAAGAGUUUAAAUUAUGGGAUAUGAGAAAUGAGAGGAAAGAAAAGGGUGUUAAUUAGAACAAAAAAGGAAGGAAAAUGAGCAAGCCAAGAAGUACUAGAAAAGAAAAGAUAGAAAAGAUUGAAAUGAACAAAAUUGGGAUGAUGCCAAGUGACCUUGUGACCUUAGAAGUCAUUCUAGAAUCGUUAAUUGUUGUUAGGUGCAUUGCACACAAUGUGAUAUUUUUAGUUGUUAAAUGCCCUAAUGCUAACAGGAUGUCCCCAUUUUGUUCCUUUUGUUAUCUUCAUUGAGCAGAAAGGUGGUUGGUUUGUGGUUCUUAAAGUGAUAACUCUUCUCUACAACAUAAGGUCGAAAGGCAAUGACAGACAGCAACAAAAUUGAGUUGGUUGAUACGGGUACCCAAAAGCAAUUGGUUGAACAGGACAAUAGGUCGGUUGAAGAGGUGAGAAUGUUAAGACAACACAUGACGGACAUGUAUCAGGCCUGGAUGACUGGGAAGGCACCACCCCCGCCACCACCUACCUUCCUAAAUGCUACCCUUACCCAAACUCCGGCCAUAGUACCAAAUGAUCCCUCAUACUCUCCAGAUACACCCGCAUAUCACAACUUUCCCAACCACCCUAGUAGCUCCGUCACUCAUCCUCCAAUUACCUCUCCCCAAAAUUGCCCUCCUAUUAUAUCCACUACCCCCAUGAUCACAACUUCUCAACAAUCUUUCCUUCAUAGAUCCAACAAUGAGCACCUACUCAAAGCUCAUGAUGCCCAAUAUUACCCCUCAGAGGUUGCCCACAAGAUUCUUGACUCAUACAAGCAGAGCUCUCGGGAUGAGCCUCAUGUUGAAAAUGAAAAGUUCACAGGAAAAGAAGGGCGAGAUGAGAUGUCCAGGAAGCUGAAAAGCAUAGAACGAUCCUUAAAGAACAUGCAAGGGAUGGGAGACCAAGUUAAUAUGUCUUACAAAGAAUUGUGUAUGUUCCCUGACAUUCGCCUGCCUGCGGGGUUUAAAGUGCUAAAGUUUAACUUGUAUGAUGGAUGUGGAGACCCCGUAGCCCAUUUGAGGGUUUGUUGCAGUGAAAUGAGAAGUGUUAGCGAGAAAGAUGAUUUGUUGAUGGCGUAUUUCAAUAAGAGCUUGACUCGAGUAGCUUUGGAAUUGCAUAAUCGUCAAGAUAUCGGUAAGUGGCGUACAUUAGGUGACAUGGCUCAAGAUUUUGUUCGACACUUUCAAUACAAAUUAGGCAUUACCCCAGACCUCUCCUCCCUAUCUAAAAUGGAAAAGAAGCCGGAGGAAAGCUUUAGGGAGUUUGGGCUCAGAUAGAGGGAGCAAGCUGCUCGAGUCAGCCCCCCGAUUGGUGAAGAAGAAAUGGUUGAGAUUUUCCUACAAGCUCAGGGGCCCACCUACUUCAGUCAUUUGAUUCCGACCUUGGAUAAACAUUUCAAUGAUGUGGUAAAAAUGGGGAGAUGGUAGAAGAGAGAAUCAAGUCAAGCAAAAUCAUGAGUUAUUCGGCAUUGAAAGAUACUACGGAAGACAUUCAGAACAUCCUAGUAAGUUCGGGUGGAAGAAUGAGAAAUAGAAAAGAUGAUCCGCUGGACAUUCCUACUCAACGCUUUCAGCCUCGACAUUGACCCCAUGGAUAUCCUCGUGCACCAGAUGAUCCUCCCCAAUGCUACUUCUCUCCACAGAACCCCAAAGUCAUACAUCACUUUCCCAGUACCCUAUCCACAAUGCACCACCAUAUGCUCCACACCCACGAGGCCCGUGAUGGCCAGCACCACUUCCCUAAAUGUCUUACCCGCCUCCUCAAGCAUAUCAACCACCUGCCCGCAAAAGGUUCCAACCGAGGCCAGAAUACAAACUGAAAAGACUACUGAAAAAUGAAAAGGCUUUAUCCUCUAUUGGAGAAUCAUAUGCCAGUUUGUUCCAAAGGUUGAGGCAAUUGGACAUGUUGAAGCCGAUUUAGAUAAAAAUGCCAAACCCUCUGCCAAAGAAGUUUGAUUUUUCUCAAAGGUGUGCAUACUGCUCCGAUGCCCCGGGUCAUAGUACAAACAAAUGUUGGCACCUGAAAAAUGCAAUUCAAUAGCUUAUUGAUGCAGGUGACAUUGUUGUGCAAAAUCCAGAUGCAGUAGACACUAGCCAAAGUCCAUCGCAUGUUCAUAAUGAGAUGCAUAUAGUGGAUAUGAUUUGUUUUGAAAAGGAAUAUGAAAAUUCUUCUGAGAUCCUCGGAGGUCUACGUGCUGCGAAACUUUCAGCGCUAUCAGAGUGUGAUCUUAAGAAUGAGCUGGCAAAAAGGACCCAAACGCAAUUUGCUAAAGUCAAUGUGAUGGAGACUUGUGAAGGUCCUAGUAAUGUUGAUGCGAAACUCAGUGGCUAAGAUGUCGUGUUUGGUAAUUGGAAAAACGCUCCAUUCUUGGUUGGCUCAGGAAGGAGUUGUGGUGGUUUAUUUUGUUUUCAUUUUUGUUGUCCGGGUUAUUUUCAGGGUUGUAGUUCGGAUAUUGUCUUGUGACUCAAACCCUUCUAUCCUUUUAUUUUGCCUAAUUUUGUUUAGUCGUAGUGGCUCAUUUAGUGUUGUCUGGUUUUGUUUAGGGUUGUACUCCAGUUUAUUUUUCUUGUCUUGUUGUUCAAACCCUUCUCACCAUCGGUCUAAUGCAAUUUCCUAUUUUCUGUUAUUUUUGACCAUUUUUUUAGUUCUCUUAUCUUUUAUAGUUUUUCUUCUCAUGCUGGAUCUAAUGACAUGACAUGCAGGCAUAAUUCUAGGCUUGGUUCUAAAGUUAGUUUAAUCAUGAAGCAAUGAGACAAUUUUAAAGAUGCUAGGGACAUUUGAGGGAAAUAAGUACAGAUUUUGACAUUUUAAGAUCAUUUGAAGCCCAAACCAUGUGAAACUAGGGCAGAUAAUUUGGAAAGUUAAUAGGGUGACAAGAAUUCGUUAAAGGAGAGUGCAUCCCAGACAGUUUGAAACAAGCAACUUUGAGUUCAAGUGCAUCUCAAGUUACAAGAUAAAGUAAAUAAAGUUGUCUCCAAAUUGACGGAGGAUAUCUAUUGUGAAGAGAGAAUCACCCAACGAGGGUUCUGUACUUGACAAGGCACUAAAAAAAAAGUGGAAAUCAUAUCAUUGAUAUCAAUGUCAAAGCUGUAAAAGAAACAUUGUGCGUGCUAUUCCUUUUUCAUUUCAAGUUUCAUAUAUUGUGCUUGGCAUUUUCAGGGAUUGGGAGACCCUCUUUCAGCUACCCAAACACUUAUACCAUUUGAUACUCUCUUGAGCCUAUACUAGUUUCUUUGACCUCCCCUCUUUUGGAAUUAAGUUAGAGUCAUAAAAAAUAAAAAUAAAAAGUUCAUGCCCCCAUAGGUUUAUUUUAGAAAGUUCAUUCCAAAAGGAAAAUUAAAAAAAAAUAGAGAUUAAAAAAAAAGAAAAAAAGAAAGAAAAGAAAAAGAAAAAAAGAAAAAGAAAAGAAAAAGNNNNNNNNNNNNNNCACAAGAUNCGUAGGCAGCCUUACGGUUCGGUCAUACCAAAUAAAAUAUUUCAUAAUCCAUUAUUUUAGAUUAUGAUAUCAAAUUCCAUUUCAAAAAAAAGAAAAACAAAGAAAAAAGAGAAUCAAAUUCCAUUAUUUUAGAAAUUUGGGCAAAGUUUUUAGAAUGAAUUCCAAAAGUUGUAAAUAAUUUAACCCCGUUGUCAUAGUUAUUUUUGAGUCUUUAUGAUAUCCUUUCUUUCUAAUCCUGUCCAAAAGCCACAUUACAGUCCAAACAAAAUCUCCCAGAUAAUCUUUGAGAGUGCUGAGUUAGCCAUGUCAGGAGCUUAUGAUGUUUUUACUGUGGUCAAUGCCUUGUCAUCUACAGAAAAGAGAGAAAAAAAAAGAAAAAUGAGAGAGUCUUAUCGGUGAAAACCUUCACAGGCACCAUAAGGCGACGGUGAGUCGAGAGAAAUAACAAAAUGAGAGUGGCUUGAUAGUGAAAACCCUUUGGGCACUACAAGUCGAAUAAGGAUCGAGAAUU